rnacentral:rRNA from 1 species
AUCUGUGGCCAUACUACCCUGAAUGUGCCCAAUCUCAUCUGGUCUUGGAAGCUAAGGAGGGUUGGUUAGUACUUGGAUGGGAAAAAACUGGUAAUUAAUCUACAAGACCCAGCUAUAUAAAUUUUGGUCAUAGAUC